GCUGCCGUAUCUCAAUGAGUAGAGAUCCGUUCUUGUAAUCACGGAAGAUGCUGGUUCGAGUCCAGCCGGCAGCA
rnacentral:tRNA from 1 species